rnacentral:lncRNA from 1 species
AAGAGAGGUGAAAAUUCCAAAGAAAUUACUAUUUGAUCGUAUCCAAGUCCCUACACCUGCAACCAAAGACCAAGUAGAAGAAGACGAUUAUGAUGAUGAUGAUGAAGAAGAAGAAGAAGAAGAAGACGAUGUUGAUAUGUGGUUCCACCUUCCAGAUGUUGUUUGCCAUUAAAAAACAAAAUUACACUAUACUAAAUACACAUAAACAAAAAAUGUAUUACAACAUUACUAAUAUGUCGAGAUAAUUAAAAAGCUUAAACACAAUUUUCACCCCCUAACUUUUAAAAUGUAGAGAUUUUGACCUCCUAUUAAAAAAUAUAGCAAAUGCCCCCCUUUAUGUUUAGACCCUUUUGCAAAACACCAAUUUUGAUCUGGUUAAUCCUAUGUGUCAUG